rnacentral:misc_RNA from 1 species
GUAGGUGAACCUGCGGAAGGAUCAUUAAAUGAAGCAACCUAGGAGCCUGAGAUAUGGCCACCGGGCACACCUUCCACCCUUUGUUUAUCACACUUUGUUGCUUUGGCAGGCCUGCCUUCGGGCUGCUGGCUCCGGCCGGCGAGCGCCUGCCAGAGGACCCAAACUCUGUUUGUCUGUAACGUCUGAGUACUAUAUAAUAGUUAAAACUUUCAACAACGGAUCUCUUGGUUCUG